UGGUUCCCGUAAGAUCACCGAGGUUAAGCAACAUCGAGCCAGGUUAGUACCUCGAUGAGUGACAGCUUGGGUAUAUUAGGCGCUGUAA